GCCCAAGUAGCUCAGUCGGUAGAGCACUUCCUUGGUAAGGAAGUGGUCGCCGGUUCGAUUCCGGCCUUGGGCUCCA
rnacentral:tRNA from 1 species